rfam:Homo sapiens chromosome 19, GRCh38 reference primary assembly.
GCUGGGCAUGGUGGCAUGUGCCUGUAAUCCUAGCUAGUGAGGAGGCUGAGGCAGGAAGAUCACUUGAGCCCAGGAGGUUUAGGCUUCAGUGAGCCAUGAUUGUGCCACUGCAGUCCAGCCUGGGCUACAGAGUGGACCCUGUCUUUU